rnacentral:lncRNA from 1 species
CAGUGAUCUUCUGGGGGACUGCCUUCACCUGCUGCUUCCUGUACCCACUGUCCUGAUUUCCAUCACCAUAGAUGAGUUUGGCCUGUUUUUGAAUUUUGUAUGAGAGAAACAUACAGCAUGUUCCUCUUUUCAUGUCUGGCUUUGUCUCUUAGCAUGGCGCCCAUCAGGUCCAUCCAUGGCUGUGUAUAUCCACGUCCAUUCCUUUUCAUGGUGAAUGGGCUUCCACUGGGUGGACAUGCAAGGUCUACUGUGGACAGACAUCUUGGUUGUUU